CUAAAUACUACCCAGUGACCGAUAGCGUAUAGUACUGUGAAGGAAAGGUGAAAAGCACCCCGGGAGGGGAGUGAAAAAGAACCUGAAACCCUGUGCCUACAAGCACCUAGAGCGCGUCAAAGCGUGAUAGGGUACUUUUUGUAGAACGGUCCGGCGAGCGAUUGUAUGCAGCAAGGUUAAGGACUUAAGGUCUGGAGCCGAAGCGAAAGCGAGUUUGAAAAGGGCGUUAAGUUGCAUAUAAUGGGCCCGAAACCGGGUGACCUACCCAUGGUCAGGUUGAAGUGGAAGUAAAAUUCCAUGGAGGACCGAACCGACCUCCGUUGAAAAGGCGGCGGAUGAACUGUGGGUAGCGGAGAAAUUCCAAUCGAACCCGGAGAUAGCUGGUUCUCCCCGAAAUAGUUUUAGGACUAGCCUCAAGUUAGAUACCUGGAGGUAAAGCACUGAAUAGCCUAGCGGCCGAGAGGUUAGCGAAGCUUAUCAAACUCAGAAUGCCAGAGUAUUGAUGCUUGGGAGUCAGACAGUGUCAGAUAAAUGUCAUUGUCAAAAGGGAAACAGCCCAGAUCUACAGCUAAGGUCCCAAAGUCAGGUUAAGUGGAAAACGAUGUGAAGAUACGCAGACAACCAGGAUGUUGGCUCAGAAGCAGCCACUCAUUCAAAGAGUGCGUAAUAGCUCACUGGUCGAGCGUCUUUGCGCGGAGAAUUUAACGGGGCUAAACCUGACACCGAAGCUUAGGCAAUACAGUAAUGUAUUGGGUAGGGGAGCGUUGUAUACGCGGUGAAACAGUAGCGCAAGCGGCUGUGGAGUGUAUAGAAGUGAGAAUGCCGGAAUGAGUAGCGCGAAUGCAGUGAGAAUCUGCAUGGCCGAAAGCCUCAGGUUUCUGGAGGAAGGUUCGUCCGCUCCAGGUUAGUCGGGAGCUAAGGUGAGGCCGGAAGGCGUAGCCGAUGCACAGACGGUAGAGAUUCCGUCACCACCAAAAGAGUUAAGCACAGGGACACAUAUGAAGUCUCAGAGCCGGGUGUUGGUUCCGGUAGAGAUCGAGGGAAAUUAGUACCGAAGUCUGAGAUGGAAGAUGGCGAGAAAAGCUGUGUGUAUUUCUGAGGUGCCCGUACCGCAAACCGACACAGGUAGGUAGGAAGAAGAUUCUAAGGCCAACGGGAGAAGGGUUGUUAAGGAACUCGGCAAAUUGACCCCGUAACUUCGGGAGAAGGGGUGCUCCAGAGAUGGAGCCGCAGAGAAUCGGCCCAAGCAACUGUUUACCAAAAACACAGGUUUGUGCUAAAUCGAAAGAUGACGUAUACGAGCUGACGCCUGCCCGGUGCUGGAAGGUUAAGAGGAGAUGUGCAAGCAUUGAAUCGAAGCCCCAGUGAACGGCGGCCGUAACUAUAACGGUCCUAAGGUAGCGAAAUUCCUUGUCAGGUAAGUUCUGACCCGCAUGAAAGGCGUAAUGAUUUGGGCACUGUCUCAACAGCCCGCCCGGCGAAAUUGUAGUACCGGUGAAGAUGCCGGUUACCCGCGACAAGACGGAAAGACCCCAUGGAGCUUUACUGUAGCCUAAUAUUGGGUUUCGAUGUUGCAUGCACAGGAUAGAUGGGACACUGGGAAACAAUCGCUUUGGCGGUUGCGGAGUGGCCGUUGGGAUACCAUCCUUGCGAUAUUGGAAUUCUAACCUGCGGCUCUGAAUCGAGUCGGGGGACAUUGUUAGGUGGGCAGUUUGACUGGGGCGGUCGCCUCCUAAAGAGUAACGGAGGCGUUCAAAGGUUCGCUCAGCUUGAACGGAAAUCAAGCAAAAGAGUGCAAACGCAGAAGCGAGCCUAACUGCGAGACUGACGGGUCGAGCAGUAACGAAAGUUGGAGUUAGUGAUCCGGUGGUAUGUGAGUGGAAAUGCCAUCGCUCAACGGAUAAAA
rnacentral:rRNA from 1 species